UUAGUUUUCUGCAGAAUAACAAAACCUUGCAUGCGUUUUGCUUUGCACUGCAAGCUGAAAGUUAACAUGGAGGAGAGAGCUGUUCCCAUUGUGGGGGAAUUUUAAGUAAAAUUCAUUACUACUUCAUAAAAAUAAGCAACAAACCCUGGCAUUCCUUUGGUCUUCAGAUACGACUGACACAUGCUUACAAUUUUUUUUUUCACCCCAUUUGGUUUCUGUAAUGGCACUGGCACAAUGCAAAUCUUGAUGUCUGUCAGUGACACUCAGAAAUGAUAAUGCAAUUAAAAUUUAAUUUGGCAAACAACUUAGUUUUUCUAUAGUAUGAAAUGAAACUUCAGAGUAGUUCUGAGUAAAACUUUUAAUAUAGCAAUGAAACUGCCAGUCUUUUCCCUGUGCCCGUAUCUCUAUGAAUAAGGCUUUAUAGGCCUAAAUGUCAGUGCUCCAUAGUGAUUAAUAUGGUAGUAAAAUAAAUUACAUGGUAUUUCUUUGUAAAUGCUGUGGUAGCCUUUCACUUAGAGGCUGGUACAAGCUAAUGUUUUUGAUGGUUCUAGUCUUGGCUAGAACUCGCAUGUGGUAUUGAGAUAUUACAAUCGUUUUGAUAUACAUACGUGGAGAAAUGGGGUUCUCAAGGAGUUAACCCUUUGUUCCUCUGCUCCUUUUUCAAACUAGCAUGAUCACACCAUUCCCCUUAAAGAUUAGAUCAUUGGUAAUAAAUACUAAUGAAUGAUGCUCCAUUGGCUGUCAGGUGGCAUUAACAAAUUAUUAUUUUGUUUCCUUCUCUUUUGUCCCUCCCCAAAGGCCAAGCAGAGAAUUUAAAAAAACAAAUUGAGGGCAGUGUAAUGUAAACAGAGUGUAUCUUCAUUUACUUUAAUGGAGUUACUCCUGACUUGCACAGAUUUGUAAGGGCAAUCAGGCCUUAGAGAUGCUGUUAGGUCAUAUAGUUUGACCUUCUGCUGUGUCUAGGUGACAGUUCUGACAUCUCAAUAACGUAAUUGUCCCUCUAGCACAGGGAACAAAGGCCAACGGUGGCUUCAACUUUCCGGCUCAGGUCUUUGCCCAUGGUUAUGUUGUCAUUGGUUUAGGCGUAUUUAACCUUUUAAAUGGAACUUUCAGAAUGGAAAUACAUUACAUUUGAUUGUUUAACAGAAGUCUGAUUCCCUAGACAUAUUAGCUGCAUACAAAACAGAUGUGGGGAAAAGGACAGUGUUACUGGUUUAGGCCAGAAUUUUCAAACUGGAUGCCUACAUUUAGGUUCCUAAAUAAGAGGCUUGCCCCCACUUUUUUGCUGUUGUAGAGCACUGAAUCUUGUAAAAUUACCUGUAUUAAUGAACUCUAUGGAAUUAAUAUUAGCCUUUAGUAAAAUGCAGAAAGUGAGUUAGUUUCACAAGAAGAGGUAAGAAGUGGUAUGUGAAUAAAACUUAAUUCUUUUUGUUUCUACACAAGUCAAAUAAGUUUGUUACUCUUAUGAACAGCUGUAUUUUUUUUCUAUUUAUGAACAAGUCUGUCAUCUUAUCUGGUAAGAUGUACUUUCCCAUGGGUAUAUAGCAUUAAUUUUUUCUUGAGUGCUUGCAUUUACUUGGGAAAGUCUAGAAUAUAGUUUUUAAUGUCUGAAAUAAUACUUAAACUUACACAGAGCUUUUAUCUGUAGGUUUCAAAGUACUUUACGGAGAUGGGUAAGUAUCAAUGUAUAGGAAAGAGAAGGGGAAAACUGGAACAUCUUUGUUAGUGCAUAUAUGUAUGUGCUGUAUGUAUCACUUCUGAUUGUUGCUAACAAUUUAAUAGCUUGAUCUUCAAAGACAAUAUGCAAAGAAAUCUUAUCCAGAGAUUUGGCUUUGUUCCUAUAGUCUGUUUUCCUGGAAACUACAUAGGGAAUCCAAGUUGUCCCAUAGUCCUUGUCUAUGGAACGAUUACUUGGAGGAUACUGAAUAUGGGUAUGCCAUGCCCUCGAUGAGGACCUGUGACAUUAUCCAGGAUACAAUCUGGACAGAUGGACAGCUGUGUCGCCUCAGAUCUCCAACCUGGGGUGUCUUUCAUGCUGCUGUUCCUGCAGUGAGCAUAGAGGAAUGGAGAGAGUUUAGACUAUACAGGAAAACGCUUGGACUGACAGCUUUGGAAACAGACCUGUUCACAGAAAGCUGCGUCUGGAGCAGUGCAAGAUGUGCCAUGCCAUCCCCCCAGUGUAUCUUGUUGGACGGCAUACUGGAAUGAGAACUGGACAAAUGUCAACCAAGACAGCAGAGGGCUGCAACUUUGUUUUGAUGUUCACAAUUAUAGAAUGUACAUAUCCCUGACCUCAUAAUAACUGUGCUAUACUAUAAAUCUGGAGUUAAUCCAGACAGAUUAAGGGGCAGACUCCUGCUGUGGCGAUCUGCUGGGUGCAACAGAGGGAGUGCUGGGAGAACCAUGCUUGACCUUCUGAUUCUCUCCCUCAAUCCUGAUGCAAAUUAGAGUAACGCUUAGGCUACAGACUGCUGGAGUGUUAUCCCUUAAUAUUCUCCCCUUCCCUGAAAGUGAUGUUUCCUUUGCAUUGAGGCUGCAAAGAGGGAGAUACAGGAACUCUUUGCACAUUGAAGAUUCUCCCACAUGGGGAUUUGGCAGCAAGGGACUUGUGUGGAUUUGCACUCCCUGAGUGCUGCAAAGGCAGAGGUUAGGAGUAGAGAAUCUGCCCCUAGAACUUGAAAGGAUCCUAGUACAAUCGUGCUGUCAGAGCUAUGGCCUACUGGCCAUAAGUUAUAUAAAACUAUAUGUUGAGGUAACUAGGCAUUCCCAACUUUCCUUAUCAGUUUGAUCAAAUUACCAACAGUCAAUCACAACUUUGCCUAUUAGAGGAGCUGGAUCACUAGGUAAGAAAUACUCGGAACAACAUUUUAGCAUUUUGUUUGGCUGCUCUAUGAAAUUAACCAUUUAGAAUUUGUCAAGCAAUGAAUGGAGAUUGAGGUGAUCAAGUUUGAACUGAUAUCUGCAAAGUGCAUUUUAUCAGAAUAAAAUAGCCUAGGGCAUAGGGAAAAGUUGUAAUGAACUCAGGACAUAAGCCUGCUCUUCCUUUUGCAACUUUUUUUUUUUAAAGGGAGAGUUCUUUUGGUAAAACCACCAGUGUUUGAAAGCCAGAAUUAGCAAAUGUGGAAGUGUGGGAAUGCACAUCUGUGGCCACUCAAGCAACCUUAACUCUAACCCUGUAUCCUGCCAACUUUCUAUUCUCUUCAUCUGUUGUACUUAACAAGUAAGAUGGAAAAGUUUUAAUGCAGGGCUUUCAGAUGAAGGUGGUUUUGAUGAGGACUAAGUUCACAGCCAGUGGCUGCAGAUGUCUUAAAUCUGCGCCUGUUUGCUGAGAUGUGAAGUGCAUGGGUUUGGUUUUGUACAAAUGUAUCCCAUAUGAAGGUGUGAUCUGCUUCCUGCGUGGCUCAUGUAAGCUACUUUUAUUCUAGCUUUUGUAGUUCUAGGUACAGUAAUUAUGCAUUUGUGCUAGGGGUCAAAGUAAGGCUCUCUUUGGGGUAUUGGUUAAUUUUCUGAAUAUGAUCCAUUUCAGUAAAGAGAUGCAGUAGUGCUCUCUGCUGGCAUGUGGCUUUAAGAAAGCAGGAGCCAUUGUAGAUGUAGCCAUAUGGCUUUCUUUCAGUCCUCCUAGACUGGCAUUUGAGUGCUCCACAUGGGUUUCUUCCUGUAGGCCACACCACUGUGUUUCCUGCCUGCUGCCUUCCCUCCCACACUCUCAUAUUGUGCCAAUCCGCAUUUAAGGCAAAAGAAAUGUGCAUGUUAUUUUGAAUAACUUCCACUAAGACGUUCCCCAGAAUUAAAGGCAGCGGUUCUCAUUACGAUACAACAAACUAAAACAAUGAGGAGUUCCUAGCCAACCCAUUUUGGAGUUAUGAUGAGCUAAAAUUAGUUAAAGAAGUCAGAUCACUUUUUUUAAAUUAUUCUUUAAAUCCUCAUAUCUCCUAAACACCAUAUCCCGUUUUACUCCUGUUUUCCAGGGUCCUAAGAUCCUGAUCUAAAACAAAUUUCGCAGUCAAAAUCAGAUCACAGGUAAAUUCACCAUACUGCAGUAAUUAGGAUUGUAGUAUACUAUAAGUUUGCAGUCAGUUACUUCAAUCUUAUUAGGUCUCUAAUUAGUCCUUUUAUUAGCAAUCAACAAGAUGAGGAAAGAUGUAAUCAUUGCUCUAAUUAGCACCAUUGGUAAUCAGACAAUAAGAAAAUGCAUGCUAUGUGUAGCUAGCAAGUUGCAAAAACAGCACUUCUUUUUCACUGGCAUUAAGAGGUUAUCAUCAGUGCCAAAAGAAUCAUUCAUUGAAAAGAUGGAAGGAGUGCACCAGGAUUGAAAAAACAAAAAAGCUUUUCAGAUGCUGCAAUGUUAAGGUUAUAAAAUUAUCUGUCUAGUUUUUUAGAAGGUGGUUGAUCACUGUGGGGUUUGAACAUGGCAGUCCUGGGAAAAAUAUUAGGACUGCUAUUAAUCUUUUUGUUUUUAUCAACUAUCUGGAUUUAGUUUCUUGCCUGAAAGAUAAGACUUAUAUGCAUUAUGACUGAUUCUGUGGAUAUGAUGUCUUCUGUAAGUCAUCUCUAAAUGUCAAAUGGAGGAGCGAAGUUAUUAGCUUGUGGGCACGUGCACAUUUCCAAACUACAUUUGUGGAAACAACACUGGACAAUAGGAGUCUACAACGUUCAAGGUAAGUUCAAAAGAAAAGUGAAUGCUUUUUUCUGGCAAAUGUGUCACGUAUCCCAAACUGUGAAUCCCUGAGUGUUCCCCACAAAGCAAGUGCUAAGGUUGUGGGUUGAGCUGAACAUGUAACGUAAGGCAGAAUAUGGAGUUGCUGUUCAGAUAAAAAGAUCCAGUGCAGAGAAAACAGAUUAAAUUGUGACAAUUAUAAUGAAGUUGCCACAGCAGAAAUUCAGGAUGAUUCUGGGAACUAGAAUGUCAGUAAAGAGGAGACUCAAAUGUACAGGAGAAGGUGGGAGGGUGCCACCAGGUUAUCAGGUGUGAUGAAAGGAAUUGUUUGGGUAUAGAUAAUGCAAGGGAUGACUAACAGAACUAUGGGCAUCUGCUACAGACAUUCAGAAGGGGAAGACCGCAAGACCUAAGAAUUGAUGAGGUAUUCUAACUACCCAGGUAUCUGUUGGGUAUAGAGCAACAGCAAAAGAUUCCAGAGUUCUGCAGGACAAAGCCAUGGUGCAGAAUGUAGAGUUUUCUAGCACAUGAGAAGGAAUCUGAACCCUGCUCCUUUUUGAGGCAGACACUGCUUGAGAUCAUAAGAAGAAUGGGGAGUGGACACACAACAAUGGAACAUAGGUUAGAAAUACAGAAAAUUAAUAUCACUUGAACACCAGCAGUUUUAUUAGGCACUACUCGGGUGGCUCCAGGCACCAGGGCAGCUAGCGUGUGUGGGGGGCGGCAUGCCGGUUGCCGUGAGGGCAGCAUUCGCGCUGUCUUCGGCGGCUUGCCUGAGGGAGGUCUGCCGAAGGCACUGACCUGCAGACCUCCCACAGGCAUGCCACCGAAAGCCGCCUGACUGUCGUGCUUGGGGCAGCAAAAUACAUAAGAGCCGCCCCGACUACUCUAAUGCAAAUAAUAGAGUCCCCAACUCAGACUGGGUUCCCAUUUUACUAUACACUAAAGGGAAAAGCUUUCAACAGAACUUAAGUCCCAAAAGAGACAGGCUUCUGGGAGCUGAAGUCUCAAUGGAAAUCAGUGGGACUUGAGCGUCUGUCACUUGCACUUUAAAAAAUUGACCCCGUACAAACACAUAGUAAAAAAAUAACCUGUAUCCCGAAGAACUUAGUCUAGCUAAAUGUCUUUGAGGAACAACAAUUACAAAAUAUGCAGAGGAAAAACAGGAAUGUUGGAAGAGGCUUGGAAGUGAUAAUGGGCAUCACUACAGAUGAGGUUUUUCUAAUGUGAUGUGAUUGCCAAAAAAAAAA